GCCCUUAGAGUUUGAUCAUGGCUCAGGAUGAACGCUGGCGGCGUGCUUAAUACAUGCAAGUCGAACGAAGUCAGUAGCAAUAUUGGCUGAGUGGCGAACGGGUGAGUAACGCGUUGGUGACCUGCCCCGAAGAGAGGGAUAACAGUUCGAAAGGAUUGCUAAUACCCCAUGUGGUCGUUUGGAUUAGAUACCUUAUGACUAAACGGAUUUAUUCGCUUCGGGAGGGGCCUGCGUCCCAUCAGCUAGUUGGUAGGGUAAUGGCCUACCAAGGCGAUGACGGGUAGGGGACCUGAGAGGGUGGCCCCCCACAAUGGAACUGAAACACGGUCCAUACACCUACGGGUGGCAGCAGUAGGGAAUAUUGGUUAAUCUGCGAAAGCGGGAACCAGCAACGCCGCGUGCACGAUGACGGCCUUCGGGUUGUAAAGUGCUUUUUGAAAGGAUGAGGAAGGACAGUACUUUCAGAAUAAGCUUCGGCUAACUACGUGCCAGCAGCCGCGGUAAAACGUAGGAAGC
rnacentral:rRNA from 1 species